rnacentral:rRNA from 1 species
UACGGAGGGGGCAAGCGUUAUUCGGAAUUACUGGGCGUAAAGCGCACGUAGGCGGCAAUCCAAGUCAAAGGUGAAAGCCCUCGGCUCAACCGAGGAACUGCCUUUGAAACUGUAUUGCUUGAGUCCGGGAGGGGGGAGCGGAAUUCCCAGUGUAGCGGUGAAAUGCGUAGAUACUGGGAGGAACACCGGUGGCGAAGGCGGCUCCCGGGACCGGUAAUGACGCUGAGGUGCGAAAGCGUGGGUAGCAAACAGG